rnacentral:lncRNA from 1 species
GGGUUAUGGUUAGGGUUAGGGUUGGAGCUAGGGUUAGGGUUAGGGUUAGGGUUGGAGUUAGGGUUAGUGUUGGAGCUAGGGUUAGGGUUGGGCUUGGAGCUAGGACUUUUCUGAGUGCAAUGAACCAACUCCCGAGUCUCUAGGACGUUCCUAAAAAAAUUUGAUUUUUUCCCAUAGGAAUGCAUGGGUUAGGGUUAGGGUUAGGGUUGGAGCUAGGGUUAGGGUUAGGGUUAGGGUUGGAGUUAGGGUUAGUGUUGGAGCUAGGGUUAGGGUUGGGCUUGGAGCUAGGAUUUUUCUGAGUGCACUGAACCAACUCCCGAGUCUCUAGGACAUUCCUAAAAAAAUUUGAUUUUUUCCCAUAGGAAUGCAUGGGUUAGGGUUAGGGUUAGGGUUGGAGCUAGGGUUAGGGUUAGGGUUAGGGUUGGAGUUAGGGUUAGUGUUGGAGCUAGGGUUAGGGUUGGGCUUGGAGCUAGGAUUUUUCUGAGUGCACUGAACCAACUCCCGAGUCUCUAGGACAUUCCUAAAAAAAUUUGAUUUUUUCCCAUAGGAAUGCAUGGGUUAGGGUUAUGGUUAGGGUUAGGGUUGGAGCUAGGGUUAGGGUUAGGGUUAGGGUUGGAGUUAGGGUUAGUGUUGGAGCUAGGGUUAGGGUUGGGCUUGGAGCUAGGACUUUUCUGAGUGCAAUGAACCAACUCCCGAGUCUCUUGGACGUUCCCUAAAAAAUUUGAUUUUUUCCCAUAGGAAUGCAUGGGUUAGGGUUAGGGUUAGGGUUGGAGCUAGGGUUAGGGUUAGGGUUAGGGUUGGAGUUAGGGUUAGUGUUGGAGCUAGGGUUAGGGUUGGGCUUGGAGCUAGGAUUUUUCUGAGUGCACUGAACCAACUCCCGAGUCUCUAGGACAUUCCUAAAAAAAUUUGAUUUUUUCCCAUAGGAAUGCAUGGGUUAGGGUUAUGGUUAGGGUUGGAGCUAGGGUUAGGGUUAGGGUUAGGGUUGGAGUUAGGGUUAGUGUUGGAGCUAGGGUUAGGGUUGGGCUUGGAGCUAGGAUUUUUCUGAGUGCAAUGAACCAACUCCCGAGUCUCUAGGACAUUCCUAAAAAAAUUUGAUUUUUUCCCAUAGGAAUGCAUGGGUUAGGGUUAGGGUUAGGGUUGGAGCUAGGGUUAGGGUUAGGGUUAGGGUUGGAGUUAGGGUUAGUGUUGGAGCUAGGGUUAGGGUUGGGCUUGGAGCUAGGAUUUUUCUGAGUGCACUGAACCAACUCCCGAGUCUCUAGGACAUUCCUAAAAAAAUUUGAUUUUUUCCCAUAGGAAUGCAUGGGUUAGGGUUAUGGUUAGGGUUAGGGUUGGAGCUAGGGUUAGGGUUAGGGUUAGGGUUGGAGUUAGGGUUAGUGUUGGAGCUAGGGUUAGGGUUGGGCUUGGAGCUAGGACUUUUCUGAGUGCAAUGAACCAACUCCCGAGUCUCUUGGACGUUCCCUAAAAAAAUUUGAUUUUUUUCCCAUAGGAAUGCAUGGGUUAGGGUUAGGGUUAGGGUUGGAGCUAGGGUUAGGGUUAGGGUUAGGGUUGGAGUUAGGGUUAGUGUUGGAGCUAGGGUUAGGGUUGGGCUUGGAGCUAGGAUUUUUCUGAGUGCACUGAACCAACUCCCGAGUCUCUAGGACAUUCCUAAAAAAAUUUGAUUUUUUCCCAUAGGAAUGCAUGGGUUAGGGUUAGGGUUAGGGUUGGAGCUAGGGUUAGGGUUAGGGUUAGGGUUGGAGUUAGGGUUAGUGUUGGAGCUAGGGUUAGGGUUGGGCUUGGAGCUAGGAUUUUUCUGAGUGCACUGAACCAACUCCCGAGUCUCUAGGACAUUCCUAAAAAAAUUUGAUUUUUUUCCCAUAGGAAUGCAUGGGUUAGGGUUAGGGUUAGGGUUAGGGUUGGAGCUAGGGUUAGGGUUAGGGUUGGAGUUAGGGUUAGUGUUGGAGCUAGGGUUAGGGUUGGGCUUGGAGCUAGGAUUUUUCUGAGUGCAAUGAACCAACUCCCGAGUCUCUAGGACGUUCCUAAAAAAAUUUGAUUUUUUCCCAUAGGAAUGCAUGGGUUAGGGUUAUGGUUAGGGUUAGGGUUGGAGCUAGGGUUAGGGUUAGGGUUAGGGUUGGAGUUAGGGUUAGUGUUGGAGCUAGGGUUAGGGUUGGGCUUGGAGCUAGGAUUUUUCUGAGUGCACUGAACCAACUCCCGAGUCUCUAGGACAUUCCUAAAAAAAUUUGAUUUUUUCCCAUAGGAAUGCAUGGGUUAGGGUUAGGGUUAGGGUUGGAGCUAGGGUUAGGGUUAGGGUUAGGGUUGGAGUUAGGGUUAGUGUUGGAGCUAGGGUUAGGGUUGGGCUUGGAGCUAGGAUUUUUCUGAGUGCACUGAACCAACUCCCGAGUCUCUAGGACAUUCCUAAAAAAAUUUGAUUUUUUCCCAUAGGAAUGCAUGGGUUAGGGUUAGGGUUAGGGUUGGAGCUAGGGUUAGGGUUAGGGUUAGGGUUGGAGUUAGGGUUAGUGUUGGAGCUAGGGUUAGGGUUGGGCUUGGAGCUAGGAUUUUUCUGAGUGCACUGAACCAACUCCCGAGUCUCUAGGACAUUCCUAAAAAAAUUUGAUUUUUUCCCAUAGGAAUGCAUGGGUUAGGGUUAUGGUUAGGGUUAGGGUUGGAGCUAGGGUUAGGGUUAGGGUUAGGGUUGGAGUUAGGGUUAGUGUUGGAGCUAGGGUUAGGGUUGGGCUUGGAGCUAGGAUUUUUCUGAGUGCACUGAACCAACUCCCGAGUCUCUUGGACGUUCCUAAAAAAAAUUUGAUUUUUUCCCAUAGGAAUGCAUGGGUUAGGGUUAGGGUUAGGGUUGGAGCUAGGGUUAGGGUUAGGGUUAGGGUUGGAGUUAGGGUUAGUGUUGGAGCUAGGGUUAGGGUUGGGCUUGGAGCUAGGAUUUUUCUGAGUGCACUGAACCAACUCCCGAGUCUCUAGGACGUUCCUAAAAAAAUUUGAUUUUUUCCCAUAGGAAUGCAUGGUUGGGUUAGGGUUAGGGUUAGGGUUGGAGCUAGGGUUAGGGUUAGGGUUAGGGUUGGAGUUAGGGUUAGUGUUGGAGCUAGGGUUAGGGUUGGGCUUGGAGCUAGGAUUUUUCUGAGUGCACUGAACCAACUCCCGAGUCUCUAGGACAUUCCUAAAAAAAUUUGAUUUUUUCCCAUAGGAAUGCAUGGGUUAGGGUUAGGGUUAGGGUUGGAGCUAGGGUUAGGGUUAGGGUUAGGGUUGGAGUUAGGGUUAGUGUUGGAGCUAGGGUUAGGGUUGGGCUUGGAGCUAGGAUUUUUCUGAGUGCACUGAACCAACUCCCGAGUCUCUAGGACAUUCCUAAAAAAAUUUGAUUUUUUCCCAUAGGAAUGCAUGGGUUAGGGUUAUGGUUAGGGUUAGGGUUGGAGCUAGGGUUAGGGUUAGGGUUAGGGUUGGAGUUAGGGUUAGUGUUGGAGCUAGGGUUAGGGUUGGGCUUGGAGCUAGGAUUUUUCUGAGUGCACUGAACCAACUCCCGAGUCUCUAGGACAUUCCUAAAAAAAUUUGAUUUUUUCCCAUAGGAAUGCAUGGGUUAGGGUUAUGGUUAGGGUUAGGGUUGGAGCUAGGGUUAGGGUUAGGGUUAGGGUUAGGGUUAGGGUUGGAGUUAGGGUUAGUGUUGGAGCUAGGGUUAGGGUUGGGCUUGGAGCUAGGAUUUUUCUGAGUGCACUGAACCAACUCCCGAGUCUCUAGGACAUUCCUAAAAAUUUGAUUUUUUCCCAUAGGAAUGCAUGGGUUAGGGUUAUGGUUAGGGUUAGGGUUGGAGCUAGGGUUAGGGUUAGGGUUAGGGUUGGAGUUAGGGUUAGUGUUGGAGCUAGGGUUAGGGUUGGGCUUGGAGCUAGGACUUUUCUGAGUGCAAUGAACCAACUCCCGAGUCUCUAGGACGUUCCUAAAAAAAUUUGAUUUUUUUCCCAUAGGAAUGCAUGGGUUAGGGUUAGGGUUAGGGUUGGAGCUAGGGUUAGGGUUAGGGUUAGGGUUGGAGUUAGGGUUAGUGUUGGAGCUAGGGUUAGGGUUGGGCUUGGAGCUAGGAUUUUUCUGAGUGCACUGAACCAACUCCCGAGUCUCUAGGACAUUCCUAAAAAAAUUUGAUUUUUUCCCAUAGGAAUGCAUGGGUUAGGGUUAGGGUUAGGGUUGGAGCUAGGGUUAGGGUUAGGGUUAGGGUUGGAGUUAGGGUUAGUGUUGGAGCUAGGGUUAGGGUUGGGCUUGGAGCUAGGAUUUUUCUGAGUGCACUGAACCAACUCCCGAGUCUCUAGGACAUUCCUAAAAAAAUUUGAUUUUUUUCCCAUAGGAAUGCAUGGGUUAGGGUUAUGGUUAGGGUUAGGGUUGGAGCUAGGGUUAGGGUUAGGGUUAGGGUUGGAGUUAGGGUUAGUGUUGGAGCUAGGGUUAGGGUUGGGCUUGGAGCUAGGAUUUUUCUGAGUGCAAUGAACCAACUCCCGAGUCUCUUGGACGUUCCUAAAAAAAUUUGAUUUUUUCCCAUAGGAAUGCAUGGGUUAGGGUUAGGGUUAGGGUUGGAGCUAGGGUUAGGGUUAGGGUUAGGGUUGGAGUUAGGGUUAGUGUUGGAGCUAGGGUUAGGGUUGGGCUUGGAGCUAGGAUUUUUCUGAGUGCACUGAACCAACUCCCGAGUCUCUAGGACGUUCCUAAAAAAAUUUGAUUUUUUCCCAUAGGAAUGCAUGGGUUAGGGUUAGGGUUAGGGUUGGAGCUAGGGUUAGGGUUAGGGUUAGGGUUGGAGUUAGGGUUAGUGUUGGAGCUAGGGUUAGGGUUGGGCUUGGAGCUAGGAUUUUUCUGAGUGCACUGAACCAACUCCCGAGUCUCUAGGACAUUCCUAAAAAAAUUUGAUUUUUUCCCAUAGGAAUGCAUGGGUUAGGGUUAGGGUUAGGGUUGGAGCUAGGGUUAGGGUUAGGGUUAGGGUUGGAGUUAGGGUUAGUGUUGGAGCUAGGGUUAGGGUUGGGCUUGGAGCUAGGAUUUUUCUGAGUGCACUGAACCAACUCCCGAGUCUCUAGGACAUUCCUAAAAAAAUUUGAUUUUUUCCCAUAGGAAUGCAUGGGUUAGUUAUGGUUAGGGUUAGGGUUGGAGCUAGGGUUAGGGUUAGGGUUAGGGUUGGAGUUAGGGUUAGUGUUGGAGCUAGGGUUAGGGUUGGGCUUGGAGCUAGGAUUUUUCUGAGUGCACUGAACCAACUCCCGAGUCUCUAGGACAUUCCUAAAAAAAUUUGAUUUUUUCCCAUAGGAAUGCAUGGGUUAGGGUUAUGGUUAGGGUUAGGGUUGGAGCUAGGGUUAGGGUUAGGGUUAGGGUUGGAGUUAGGGUUAGUGUUGGAGCUAGGGUUAGGGUUGGGCUUGGAGCUAGGAUUUUUCUGAGUGCACUGAACCAACUCCCGAGUCUCUAGGACAUUCCUAAAAAAAUUUGAUUUUUUCCCAUAGGAAUGCAUGGGUUAGGGUUAGGGUUAGGGUUGGAGCUAGGGUUAGGGUUAGGGUUAGGGUUGGAGUUAGGGUUAGUGUUGGAGCUAGGGUUAGGGUUGGGCUUGGAGCUAGGAUUUUUCUGAGUGCAAUGAACCAACUCCCGAGUCUCUAGGACGUUCCUAAAAAAAUUUGAUUUUUUCCCAUAGGAAUGCAUGGGUUAGGGUUAGGGUUAGGGUUGGAGCUAGGGUUAGGGUUAGGGUUAGGGUUGGAGUUAGGGUUAGUGUUGGAGCUAGGGUUAGGGUUGGGCUUGGAGCUAGGAUUUUUCUGAGUGCACUGAACCAACUCCCGAGUCUCUAGGACAUUCCUAAAAAAAUUUGAUUUUUUCCCAUAGGAAUGCAUGGGUUAGGGUUAUGGUUAGGGUUAGGGUUGGAGCUAGGGUUAGGGUUAGGGUUAGGGUUGGAGUUAGGGUUAGUGUUGGAGCUAGGGUUAGGGUUGGGCUUGGAGCUAGGAUUUUUCUGAGUGCACUGAACCAACUCCCGAGUCUCUAGGACAUUCCUAAAAAAAUUUGAUUUUUUCCCAUAGGAAUGCAUGGGUUAGGGUUAUGGUUAGGGUUAGGGUUGGAGCUAGGGUUAGGGUUAGGGUUAGGGUUGGAGUUAGGGUUAGUGUUGGAGCUAGGGUUAGGGUUGGGCUUGGAGCUAGGAUUUUCUGAGUGCACUGAACCAACUCCCGAGUCUCUAGGACAUUCCUAAAAAAAUUUGAUUUUUUCCCAUAGGAAUGCAUGGGUUAGGGUUAUGGUUAGGGUUAGGGUUGGAGCUAGGGUUAGGGUUAGGGUUAGGGUUAGGGUUGGAGUUAGGGUUAGUGUUGGAGCUAGGGUUAGGGUUGGGCUUGGAGCUAGGAUUUUUCUGAGUGCACUGAACCAACUCCCGAGUCUCUAGGACAUUCCUAAAAAAAUUUGAUUUUUUUCCCAUAGGUAUGCAUGGGUUAGGGUUAGGGUUAGGGUUAGGGUUGGAGCUAGGGUUAGGGUUAGGGUUAGGGUUGGAGUUAGGGUUAGUGUUGGAGCUAGGGUUAGGGUUGGGCUUGGAGCUAGGAUUUUUCUGAGUGCAAUGAACCAACUCCCGAGUCUCUAGGACGUUCCUAAAAAAAUUUGAUUUUUUCCCAUAGGAAUGCAUGGGUUAGGGUUAGGGUUAGGGUUGGAGCUAGGGUUAGGGUUAGGGUUAGGGUUGGAGUUAGGGUUAGUGUUGGAGCUAGGGUUAGGGUUGGGCUUGGAGCUAGGAUUUUCUGAGUGCACUGAACCAACUCCCGAGUCUCUAGGACAUUCCUAAA